rfam:Flavobacterium plurextorum strain CCTG 60112 WGS0045_contig_27, whole genome shotgun sequence.
GGGGUCGACUGGUUUUGACAGCAAGUCGAAUUGAACAGUAAGCACGUCGAGCAUUGAGACCUUGCUCGUAAAUAUAAGAUCUCACACUUUUACACGGCGAAAAUAAUUACGCUUUAGCUGCAUAAUCUGAAUCAUAGUAAGAUUGCGCCACGUCUCUACAAGGUAGAGAAGCUGGAUUCUCCUAGAAAGCCUUGGUUUGUGGCGUUCUGUCAAGGGGAACCGUAAAAAUAAACCUAGAUUUCCAUGAGCUUCGGGUGGAUUUCGAAAAUUAAGGAGAUAAGUGUUGGGUGGUUGUUUCUGGCCUAGCUCAACAACGAAAAUCUAAUCAGGAAAUAAGCGUGUAGAAAGCUCUUUAGUUGCUUGUUUGGACCCGGGUUCGAUUCCCGGCGACUCCACAA